ACUGCAGUGCACCUUCAUAUAAUACUUCAAAUCAAAUGUUACCCUGUCCACUUCAGUUAAUACUCUGGUGCCUUUUCUUCCCGUUGUUCUCCACAGGUCUUUACCGGUUCUGGAAAUCGUCUAGAUGGGAAGAAGAAAGGCAUUGAACCCAGUCCAGCACGACUUGAUCCCAGUGACAUUAAACGGUGGCCAGCAGCCCGGCUUCCUUCGGGUUCCAGGACACACAGUUGACGUCCUGACCGUGGGCUUUGGGCACAUGGGCUGACAUGAAGAAGACGGGCUGCUCUGAGUCAGCAGUGUGGUCUUCUCUGAACACACGGACUCCGUCAU